CAGAAGAGGACAGUGGAACUCCAUGUGUAGCGGUGAAAUGCGUAGAUAUAUGGAAGAACACCAGUGGCGAAGGCGGCUGUCUGGUCUGUAACUGACGCUGAGGCUCGAAAGUAUGGGUAGCAAACAGGAUUAGAUACCCUGGUAGUCCAUACCGUAAACGAUGAAUGCUAAGUGUUGGAGGGUUUCCGCCCUUCAGUGCUGCAGCUAACGCAUUAAGCAUUCCGCCUGGGGAGUACGGCCGCAAGGCUGAAACUCAAAGGAAUUGACGGGGGCCCGCACAAGCGGUGGAGCAUGUGGUUUAAUUCGAAGCUACGCGAAGAACCUUACCAGGUCUUGACAUACUAUGCAAAUCUAAGAGAUUAGACGUUCCCUUCGGGGACAUGGAUACAGGUGGUGCAUGGUUGUCGUCAGCUCGUGUCGUGAGAUGUUGGGUUAAGUCCCGCAACGAGCGCAACCCUUAUUAUCAGUUGCCAGCAUUAAGUUGGGCACUCUGGUGAGACUGCCGGUGACAAACCGGAGGAAGGUGGGGAUGACGUCAAAUCAUCAUGCCCCUUAUGACCUGGGCUACACACGUGCUACAAUGGAUGGUACAACGAGUUGCGAACUCGCGAGAGUAAGCUAAUCUCUUAAAGCCAUUCUCAGUUCGGAUUGCAGGCUGCAACUCGCCUACAUGAAGUCGGAAUCGCUAGUAAUCGCGGAUCAGCAUGCCGCGGUGAAUACGUUCCCGGGCCUUGUACACACCGCCCGUCACACCAUGAGAGUUUGUAACACCCAAAGUCGGUGGGGUAACCUUUUAGGAACCAGCCGCCUAAGGUGGGACAGAUGAUUAGGGUGAAGUCGUAACAAGGUAGCCGUA
rnacentral:rRNA from 1 species